rnacentral:rRNA from 1 species
GACGAACGCUGGCGGCGUGCCGUAACACAUGCAAGUCGAACGGAGCAGAUCCCUUCGGGGGUUUGCUUAGUGGCGAACGGGUGAGUAACGCGUGAGGAACCUGCCCUGGAGUGGGGGAUAACAGUUGGAAACGACUGCUAAUACCGCAUAAGCCCACGGCCCGGCAUCGGGUUGAGGGGAAAGGAUUUAUUCGCUUCAGGAUGGACUCGCGUCCAAUUAGCUAGUUGGUGAGGUAACGGCCCACCAAGGCGACGAUUGGUAGCCGGACUGAGAGGUUGAACGGCCACAUUGGGACUGAGACACGGCCCAG